GAACCCAACCUCGCCCCAUGCCUCCAGAAUAGCUUCGUUAGGAACGGGUGGUAAUGCUGGAUGCUCCAACUUGACGCAUGUCUUGUUGGGAAAGUGUUUAGUGGCAUGGGAUGGGGUCGCGUCCUAUCAGCUUGUAGGCGGGGUAAUGGCCCACCUAGGCUUCGACGGGUAGCCGGCCUGAGAGGGCGGACGGCCACAUUGGGACUGAGAUACGGCCCAAACUCCUACGGGAGGCAGCAGAC
rnacentral:rRNA from 1 species